AUUGAACGCUGGCGGCAGGCCUAACACAUGCAAGUCGAGCGAGCGGCGGACGGGUGAGUAAUGUAUGGGGACUGCCUGACCGAGGGGGAUAACUACUGGAAACGGUGGCUAAUACCGCACACUGUCGGAUAAUCCAUAUGGGAUUAGCUAGUAGGUAAGGUAAUGGCUUACAUAGGCGACCAUCCCUAGCUGGUCUGAGAGGAUGAUCAGCCACACUGGAACUGAGACACGGCCCAGACUCCUACGGAGGCAGCAGUGGGGAAUAUUGCACAAUGGGCGCAAGCCUGAUGCAGCCAUGCCGAGUGUAUGAAGAAGGCCCUAGGGUUGUAAAGUACUUUCAGUCGGGAGGCGUUACCGGCAGAAGAAGCACCGGCUAACUCCGUGCCAGCAGCCGCGGUAAUUC
rnacentral:rRNA from 1 species